rnacentral:rRNA from 1 species
CAGUCGAACGGAGCCUUAACCAAAGAAGCAGCCAGCUUGCUGGAAGCGGAAAAGGGAAAGGCUUAGUGGCGGACGGGUGAGUAACGCGUGGGUAACCUGGCCCAUACAGGGGGAUAACACUUAGAAAUAGGUGCUAAUACCGCAUAACAACAGAAAGCGCAUGCUUUUUGUUUGAAAACCAAGGUGGUAUGGGAUGGACCCGCGUCUGAUUAGCUGGUUGGCGGGGUAAAGGCCCACCAAGGCGACGAUCAGUAGCCGGCCUGAGAGGGUGGACGGCCACAUUGGGACUGAGACACGGCCCAAACUCCUACGGGAGGCAGCAGUGGGGAAUAUUGCACAAUGGGGGAAACCCUGAUGCAGCGACGCCGCGUGAGUGAAGAAGUAAUUCGUUAUGUAAAGCUCUAUCAGCAGGGAAGAAAAUGACGGUACCUGAGUAAGAAGCCCCGGCUAACUACGUGCCAGCAGCCGCGGUAAUACGUAGGGGGCAAGCGUUAUCCGGAUUUACUGGGUGUAAAGGGAGCGUAGACGGCAGUGCAAGUCUGGAGUGAAAGGCGGGGGCUCAACCCCCGGACUGCUCUGGAAACUGUACGGCUGGAGUGCAGGAGAGGUAAGUGGAAUUCCUAGUGUAGCGGUGAAAUGCGUAGAUAUUAGGAGGAACACCAGUGGCGAAGGCGGCUUACUGGACUGUAACUGACGUUGAGGCUCGAAAGCGUGGGGAGCAAACAGGAUUAGAUACCCUGGUAGUCCACGCCGUAAACGAUGAUCACUAGGUGUCGGGGGUUAAAGAACCUUCGGUGCCGCAGCCAACGCAGUAAGUGAUCCACCUGGG